GGGCUUCUCCGCUGGGAUUAUGCAGGAGAGCGUGACGAAGGUGAUGCGUCAUGACAUGGACACCUCUUCACUAAAAGCAGGCCAUGCUCACCCAGUCAGUUCAGAGAGCACCAAGACAACCCCACUGCUCCACUGUGGUCCUCCUCAAGCAUCAAGGACUGUGGGGAGACCUUCAGAGGUGAUUUCACCCAUGAGUCACGGAACAGACAUCUCAUACCCACAACUGUCAUUUGGAAACAGGCUCACCAGACCUUCCACCCCAGAUUAGUCAAGUCAAAGUCCUGGCCAUUUCUUCACCUGUAACAACUCACUAAGUACUUGUAAAAUCUCAGCCUUAAUGGAGAGGAAAGUCAGGAAAGGGUCUUGGAGAGGAAGUUAAUGAAGAGGCUGCAAGGGAAAUGAAGUCCCCAACUAAGCCGAGGAAGGUCCUUUUCUCCAGA